rnacentral:ncRNA from 1 species
UACCUGGUUGAUCCGGCCAGUAGUCAUAUGCUUGUCUCAAAGAUUAAGCCAUGCAUGUGCAAGUAUGAACCAAUUUGAACUGUGAAACUGCGAAUGGCUCAUUAAAUCAGUUAUAGUUUGUUUGAUGGUACGUGCUACUCGGAUAACCGUAGACAUUCUAGAGCUAAUACGUGCAACAAACCCCGACUUUUGGGAGGGGCGCAUUUAUUAGAUAAAAGGCUG